CCCUGGUUUCAUUAUGGAAAACCUCUUGUUUCCUAUUCCAAAAGUUUUUCAUCUGGUGAAAGGCAAGGGUCCCAAUUCCUGCAGAGAGUGUUAAGCACAAUCUGGACUGGAUCUCAUGAUUCUGGUGAGCUACUGGGUGGUAGUCCAGGGAAAGGAAAGGGAUUUGUAUAAGAAGAGGCUAGAAAUGGGAAACUUGAUUUUUAUUACCUUGAGAUGUCCUCUUCUACUGAAAUGAAUGCUUCUGGUUAAACCCUGUAUGCAUGCAAAUUUCAAUCUUUUCCAACCCAAUAGGAGACUGGUUGCCUAAUAGGUGGAAUUAGGGGUCUAUAAGCUGUAAUGGUUUGGCUUCUGUUGCUUCACAAGAGGUGGAAUUCUUGCUAAUAAUAGAAGACUGGCAACACGCCUUGAUGAUAUUUUCAGAAGACUACAUAUAUAAAGAGCUCAUCAUCAGGGAUCAGCAACUCAUGUGCUUGAAAAAUGAGAAGACAGAGACAAAGAACUCAACAAGUGAAGUUCUCCAGUGCAGAAGGCAUUGGUCUAAGAAGUUGGAGAAGUUUAUUAACUUGGGCAAGAUUAUACAGCUAAGCCAGAAUUUUACUGGGCUCCAUCUGGCUCCAGAAAAGCCUUAUGACAUAGUACCUUCUGGCUCUGAUGAAGUAAAAGAACAGUGGUCUUGGCACUGGAAAGCAGGACAGUGA
rnacentral:lncRNA from 13 species